AGAAGAAUAUUGAGGGAGAAACGUUGAUCUCAAUAUAUCCAAACUAGAAAACUAGAAAGAAAAAAAGAACUCUGUGAACUGAAACAUCUUAGUAACAGAAGGAAAAGAAAUCAAACGAGAUUAGGUAAGUAGCGGUGAGCGAAAAUCUAAAAGCAAAAAAGACGAAAGAAAAGCGAAAACCAGAGAAGGUGAGAGACCUGUAGCAGAAUAGAGUAGUCAAAAAAAGAAGUAGAAUGCGAAAGUGUUUGAAGCUUGAGAAAGCAAAGGAGAACCAUAAAAAGAAACUUCAAAAGCUAAAUAUAAUCAAAACACCGAUAGUGAAAGAGUAACGUGAGUGAAAGCUGAAAAAGAUAUGCAAGGCAAAGUGAAAGAGAACAUAGAAAUAGGAUAUGAAAAAGCACUCAAUAAAAUGAGGUACCUUUUGUAUAAUGGAUUUGCAAGUUAUUAUUAUUAGCAAGUUUAAGUAACUAUGAAAGUACGAAGACGUAGGGAAACCGAGUCUAAAAAGGGCGAAAAGUUAAUAAUAAUAAGACCCGAAACCAAGUGAUCUUUCCAUGACCAGUAGGAAAAUCUGGUAAAACGGAUUGGAGGGACGAACCUGUAGCUGUUACAAAAGCUUAGGAUGAGUUGUGGAAAGGGGUGAAAGGCCAAUCGAACUUGGAGAUAGCUGGUUUUCUGCGAAAUAUAUUUAGGUAUAGCGUUUAAUAAAAUUAUUAUACGGUAAUGCAAUGAUUUGGUAUUUGGUGUUGCAAAGCAAUAUACUUUAUCGAGUUAACCACAGAAUGUAUAAUAAAAGAGUAUUAAGCAGACAGACUUUUGGCGAUAAGGUCGUAAGUCAAAAGGGAAACAGCCCUAAACAUAAGUUAAGGUCAUAAAUAUUUUUCUAAGUGCGAAAAGACAGUUUUAUUACGAUUACAACUAAUAAGUAGGCUUGGAAACAGCCAUCUUUUAAAGAAAACGUAACAGUUCAUUAGAAUAAAUGUAAGAAAGCGCUAAAAAUUAGGGUGACUAAAGAAAAAAACCGAAACUAUGUAGAGAAGGUAGCAGAACGUCUUGUAAGAAAGAAAAUUGAAAAAUGAAAACAAGAGUGACAAUGCAAAUAUGAGUAACGUUAACAUUUUUGAAAUAAAAAUGCACCGAAAGUUCAAGGUUUCCAACUCACUGAUAAACAUAGUUGGGUGUAUCUGUCCCUAAGAUUGAACCAAAAGGGAUAAUCGAUGGGUGUCUCUAUAAAGACUUUAUAAUGAAUAAACAAGAAAUAAUAUAGAGAAUCUAAUAAAAGAAAUACAGAACUAAAACUGACACAAGUGAACGGGUAGAGAAUACUAAGGUGAUAGUUGAAAUAUCUUUAGGGAACUCGGCAAAAUGUAUCCGUAAGUUAGCGAGAAGGAUAGUAAUGACAGCAAAUUGCUUAGGCUGACUGUUUACCAAAAACACAACUUUUAGCAAACAUGAAAAUGGAGGUAUUAAAAGUGACCCCUGCCCAGUGAUUGUAUCUAAAAUUUGAAGGUAAAAGCCUUUAAUAUAAGGACAAUUAAAUGGCUGCGGUAACCAUGACCGUACUAAGGUAGCGCAAUCAAUAGCCAAUUAAUUGUUGGCAUGUAUGAAUGGGGUAACAAGCUUAAGACUGUCCCAAAGAUAUGACUAGUGAAAUUGAAUUCUGAGUUAAGAUGCUCCGUAUGUUGUCGCAAGACAAGAAGACCCUACGCAGCUUUACUGUUAUUAUUUAUUGACAAAAAUCAUAUUAUGUAUAGAAUAUUAGGGAAUCUUUUAUAGAAUAUACGCCAGUAUAUUAA
rnacentral:rRNA from 1 species